UACGUAGAAGACUAGUGUUAUUCAUCUUUAAUAGGUUUAAAGGGUACCUAGACGGUAUAAUUAGUCUUUAACAGGAAACGGUUAUAACUAGAGUUAUAUAUGAGGAGGUGAGUAUUUGUGGAGUAGAGUUGAAAUUCUUUGAUACCAUGAAGACUGGUAAAGGCGAAAGCAACCUUUUAUCUAAAUAACUGACGUUGAGGGACGAAGGCUCGGGUCGCGAACAGG
rnacentral:rRNA from 1 species